rnacentral:rRNA from 1 species
UACGGAGGGUGCAAGCGUUAUCCGGAUUCACUGGGUUUAAAGGGUGCGUAGGUGGGUUGGUAAGUCAGUGGUGAAAUCCCCGAGCUUAACUUGGGAACUGCUAUUGAUACUAUUAAUCUUGAAUACCGUGGAGGUUAGCGGAAUAUGUCAUGUAGCGGUGAAAUGCUUAGAUAUGACAUAGAACACCAAUUGCGAAGGCAGCUGGCUACACGAAUAUUGACACUGAUGCACGAAAAGCGUGGGGGAUCAAACAGG